UACGAAGGGGGCUAGCGUUGCUCGGAAUCACUGGGCGUAAAGGGUGCGUAGGCGGGUCUUUAAGUCAGGGGUGAAAUCCUGGAGCUCAACUCCAGAACUGCCUUUGAUACUGAAGAUCUUGAGUUCGGGAGAGGUGAGUGGAACUGCGAGUGUAGAGGUGAAAUUCGUAGAUAUUCGGAAGAACACCAGUGGCGAAGGCGGCUCUCUAGUACGGUACUGACGCUGAGACGCGAAAGCGUGGGGAGCAAACAGG
rnacentral:rRNA from 1 species